rnacentral:lncRNA from 1 species
CACCAGUUGCUUCCGGGCAUUCUCAGGCAGAAGACCAAGGCAGAAACUUCACCUGCUCUCGACUCCCUNCAAGUGGCCUUUAGAGGCAUCCUGCUUGNUUCUCCAACCUGGAGGCGGUACCUGGGCAUCCAUUCUAGUUCCCAAGUGAGAGAAAAUGCAGGGAAUUUGAACACACCUAUCACCACACAUCUGUGUUACGAAAAGUAGGAUAGCAAGCCCUACUGGAUCAGAUGCAAGGCCCAUCCAGGGAGUGUCUUGUUUCUUCAACAAUCACUCAGUAGUCUUUUAUGGUCCCAAAGCUGGUAGUUGGUGGNGGACUGUCUCCAGAGCUGGUGUUUUUAUUUAGUGAUGAUAANUAGACAUCACCAAUAGCCUGCACGCCUUUACUCUUUUCCCUGGAAGAAAACUCGGGUGAACGAAAAACGGACAGAGAAGCAAGGAUUCCUAAUUGACAGAGAUUUGUUCUGUGCUACGAGAAUUGUUCCAGACUGAAGUAAACUGUGGACCAAACAUGGAAUUUUUUGUUCAUGCACAUCCCCAGGAGCUCACCUUUUACGGAACGGAGGAUGGAAGGGCUGGUCAGGUGGCAGCUGAUGGAGGAAACGGAUUGUACCAGAUGCUGGGCACGACUGUUAUGUGUGAUCCAUCGCAUCGUGUGGCUGGNGCUUUGUUUAUUUUUCAAUCUCGGGGCGGCUCCAGGAGGCUCCUCGGAGGGCUUGCUGUAAUUAUGACGGCCACAGAAUUAUUAUCGGGCACUUCCUCCACCACAUUCCCAGAUCUUUCUUUGAUCUGCAGGGACUCACGCUCACCCUGGGGAUUUUGGCCAGAGGCUCAGUCGCGUCGGAUGCUGCCUUCCUUUUCCCCUUCCCAUCCGAGGGUCUCCUAG